UGAUAGCCCCGAUUGCAACGGCAUCCUUUUUCUUGCAUUGAGAAAGCUAAGGAAGAAAAAGAUACAGUGGAAAGCGGGAAUUGCU
rnacentral:sRNA from 1 species